rnacentral:rRNA from 1 species
UACGUAGGGGGCAAGCCUUGUCCGGAUUUAUUGGGCGUAAAGAGCUCGUAGGCGGCUUGGCAAGUCGGGUGUGAAAACUUCAGGCUCAACCUGGAGCGGCCACUCGAUACUGCCAUGGCUUGAGUCCGGUAGGGGACCACGGAAUUCCUGGUGUAGCGGUGAAAUGCGCAGAUAUCAGGAGGAACACCAGUGGCGAAGGCGGUGGUCUGGGCCGGAACUGACGCUGAGGAGCGAAAGCGUGGGUAGCAAACAGG